CCACAUCAAACAGAAUCCGCAGUUUGUAGUCGUGGCCGAGUGGUUAAGGCGACAGACUAGAAAUCUGUUGGGAUUAUCCCGCGCAGGUUCAAAUUCUGCCGACUACGUAAUCUACGAAGAUAGACAAGGUGAAGGAAUAAAGAAAAGCACAAUUUUGCGAGAUGAAUAUUAACGAAAAGGGUACAAAAUGUAAAUAAUUUGGUAUUAAAUAAUUCGUG
rnacentral:tRNA from 1 species